AACCAAUAACACGGGAGUUGCACGGGGCUGGCCUUAAAGGCCUUUAGGGCCCAAAGCGGCCCAUGUAGACCCCCAUGUAGACGGGGAUCGUUGGGGCCAAGGUCCACAAGGGCUGUAGAGCCAGAGAUAGAUAGGUGGAAUGGAGUGGAAUUUCUUUAUUUAAUUAAACCAAAUUUCAUAAGAGUGUGGUGUAUGUAAUGUCAGUAUUAAGUAUUCAAAUUGUGUCGACAUGAAAUUUUGCAGUAAGUGGACAGUUAUUAUAGUACAUAGGAGCGUGCAUAAUGUUCAUCAUAUAAGUCAGCCAUGUAUAGAGUAUUCGUGUUUGUGUCCUGUUUCCAUCCUCAGGUUACAGGAUAAGAGGCGCCUGAGAAGAGACUGUCAUCACAACCGAUGUUAGAGUGAGAGAAACAUGUAACAGAUUCCCCGCUCUUCCUAUAUGUUCUGUGAAGACAUCCUGUGUGAGAGGCAGGCCCUGAAUGGCUGUAUCAGUGAAGGGUAGCUGUUCCCAGCCAUGAAGGAUGCUGAGUUCCUGAGAGCAGGAGCCACACAGGAUCUUCCUUUCCAUGAAUCCAUAUAUGAGUCCUGGUGUGGCAUCAGUGGAGAGAAGUUGUUCCUAGUCAGCAAGUUUCAUGCAGUGCCUUCGCCUCUUGAACUGUUCACCGCCUGCAAGCGCAUGCUGUGCUAAAGGUUUGUGUCAUAUGAGAUAGAUAGUUCUAGCUCUCUUGUUACAAUGUUAGGUAACAUUAUAGAGGUUGUAAAUGAA